AUAAAAAAAAGGGAGAUUUGCAAAACUACCUUUUUUUACAAUCAUUUUGCAACAAUAGCCUUUUAUGUUGUCCAUUUUUAAAAAUACCCCUUCCCUUGAACACAAUGACCAAAUUACCCUCAUCUAAUAGAAACAUGCAAUUAAAAACUGAAUUUUUUUCACCAAGUUUUUGGCGCCAAAAUUUAUUUGUCCGCCAAAAUUUAUUUUUCCCGCCAAAUUUUUGGGUCCAAAAAAAAAUUUCCGCCAAUCUUUUUUCUCGCCAAAAAAAUUAUCAAGCCAAAUAUUUUUUUCGUAACAAAUUUUUUCUCAGCCAAAAAAAUGCUUUUAAAAAUCCUUGUAAAAUUGAUUAUCUUGGAUUCAUCUUGCUCAUUUCUAGAACGGUUUAAAUUGAUUAUCGACUGCUACACCAACAAGGACAUCCCAGAUAUUGAUCGACAGCUACCCAUUUGGAUGUUAUGGAGAAUCUGGAAAAGCAGGAAUUUAUCAGUCUAUCAACAUAAAAGCAGUACUUGGCGAGAGGAUUUUAUUAAGACUGUUAAUGAUGCAACUGAAUGGGCUUUAGUCUGGACUAUCGACUCAACUACUAACAUUCAAACAAGACAAGUGCAAUCAAGAACACAUCAUUCAGCUUGGACCAGACCGAAAGAGGACUUCGUAAAAUGCAACUUCGAUU
rnacentral:sRNA from 1 species